GUGAGUAACACGUGAGAAUCUGCCUUUAGGAGGGGGACAACAACUGGAAACGGUUGCUAAUACCCCAUAUGCUUUCGAGUGAAACGGAUUUAUCCGCCUAUUGAGAAGCUUGCGGCUGAUUAGCUUGUUGGUAAGGUAAUGGCUUACCAAGGCGACGAUCAGUAUCUGGUUUGAGAGGACGAUCAGACACACUGGAACUGAGACACGGUCCAGACUCCUACGGGAGGCAGCAGUGGGGAAUUUUCUGCAAUGGGCGAAAGCCUGACAGAGCAAUACCGCGUGAGGGAUGACAGUCCUAUGGAUUGUAAACCUCUUUUUUCAGGGAGGAAGUUCUGACGUUACCUGAAGAAUAAGCAUCGGCUAACUCCGUGCCAGC
rnacentral:rRNA from 1 species